rnacentral:rRNA from 1 species
UACGAACUGUGCAAACGUUAUUCGGAAUCACUGGGCUUAAAGGGUGCGUAGGCGGCCAUGUAAGUAGGGUGUGAAAGCCCCCGGCUUAACCGGGGAAUGGCGCUCUAAACUGCAUGGCUGGAGUGAGAUAGGGGUGUGUGGAACUUCCGGUGGAGCGGUGAAAUGUGUUGAUAUCGGAAGGAACGCCGGUGGCGAAAGCGACACACUGGAUCUCAACUGACGCUGAGGCACGAAAGCCAGGGGAGCAAACGGG